rnacentral:rRNA from 1 species
AGAGUUUGAUUACUGGCUCAGGAUGAACGCUAGCUACAGGCUUAACACAUGCAAGUCGCGGGGCAGCAUGGAGGUUGCUUGCAACUUCCGAUGGCGACCGGCGCACGGGUGAGUAACGCGUAUCCAACCUUCCCCAUAGUAGGGGAUAGCCCGGCGAAAGUCGGAUUUAAUACCCUAUGUUGUCCGAAGAUGGCAUCUGAUUCGGAGCAAAGAUUUAUCGCUAUGGGAUGGGGAUGCGUCCGAUUAGCUUGCCGGCGGGGUAACGGCCCACCGGGGCAACGAUCGGUAGGGUUCUGAGAGGAAGGUCCCCCCACACUGGUACUGAGACACGGACCAGACUCCUACGGGAGGCAGCAGUGAGGAAUAUUGGUCAAUGGGCGGGAGCCUGAACCAGCCAAGUAGCGUGCAGGAUGACGGCCCUACGGGUUGUAAACUGCUUUUAUGCGGGGAUAAAGUGACGUACGCGUACGUUUUUGCAGGUACCGCAUGAAUAAGGACCGGCUAAUUCCGUGCCAGCAGCUGC